GGUAGUAACAAAUGUUCAAAUGAGAAUUUGAAGGCCGAAGAGGAGAAAGGUUCCAUGUGAACAGCACUUGCACAUGGGUAAGCCGAUCCUAAAGGACGGGGUAACCCCGGCAAAGAGCACAACCACGCGCGUGCCCCGAAAGGGAAUCGGAUUAAGAUUUCUCGAGCCAGGACGUGGCAGUUGACGGCGAUGUUAGGAAGUCCGAAGACGUCGGAAGAGGCCUCGGGAAGAGGUAUCUUUUCUGCUUAACGGCCUGUCAACCCUAGAAACGGUUCAGCCGAAGGUAGGGUGCAGCGGCCGGAAGAGCACCGCACGUCGCGCGGUGUCCGGUGCGCCCCCGGCGGCCCUUGAAAAUCCGGAGGACCGAGUACCAUCCACGCCGCCACCGUUGAUCCAACGAGGAAGAGGGGGCUGCCUCCCCGCCGGCGAGGUCC
rnacentral:ncRNA from 1 species